ACCCGCUGAGCUUAAGCAUAUCAAUAAGCGGAGGAAAAGAAACUAACAGGGAUUCCCCUAGUAACUGCGAGUGAAGCGGGAAAAGCUCAAAUUUAAAAUCUGGUGGUCUUUGGCCAUCCGAGUUGUAAUCUAGAGAAGUGUUACCCGCGUCGGACCGUGUACAAGUCUCCUGGAAUGGAGCGUCAUAGAGGGUGAGAAUCCCGUCUUUGACACGGACUACCGAGGCUUUGUGGUGCGCUCUCAAAGAGUCGAGUUGUUUGGGAAUGCAGCUCAAAAUGGGUGGUAAAUUCCAUCUAAAGCUAAAUAUUGGCGAGAGACCGAUAGCGAACAAGUACCGUGAGGGAAAGAUGAAAAGAACUUUGGAAAGAGAGUUAAACAGUACGUGAAAUUGCUGAAAGGGAAACGCUUGAAAUCAGUCGCGUUGGCCGGAAAUCAGCCUUGCUUUAGUGAGGUGUACUUUCUGGUUGACGGGCCAGCAUCAGUUUUGACCGGUGGAAAAAGGUUCGAGAGGAAGGUGGCAUCUUCGGGUGUGUUAUAGCCUCUUGUUCGUAUACAUCGGUUGGGACUGAGGAACGCAGUACUUGUACUUCGGAUGCUGGCAUAAU
rnacentral:rRNA from 1 species